rnacentral:rRNA from 1 species
UGGGGAAUUGUUCGCAAUGGGCGCAAGCCUGACGACGCAAUGCCGCGUGGAGGAUGAAGGUCUUCGGAUUGUAAACUCCUGUUGCCAGGGACGAAUGGCUCCGACCUAACACGUCGGAGUAUGACGGUACCUGGUGAGGAAGCCCCGGCUAACUCUGUGCCAGCAGCCGCGGUAAUACAGAGGGGGCAAGCGUUGUUCGGAAUUACUGGGCGUAAAGGGCGCGUAGGCGGCCCGCUAAGUCGAACGUGAAAUCCCCAGGCUCAACCUGGGAACUGCGUCCGAUACUGGCAGGCUUGAAUCCGGGAGAGGGAUGUGGAAUUCCAGGUGUAGCGGUGAAAUGCGUAGAUAUCUGGAGGAACACCGGUGGCGAAGGCGGCAUCCUGGACCGGUAUUGACGCUGAGGCGCGAAAGCCAGGGGAGCAAACGGGAUUAGAUACCCCCGGUAGUCCUGGCCCUAAACGAUGAAUGCUUGGUGUGGCGGGUAUCGAUCCCUGCCGUGCCGAAG